rnacentral:rRNA from 1 species
UAGGGAAUAUUGGUCAAUGGGGGCAACCCUGAACCAGCCAUGCCGCGUGCAGGAAGACAGCCUUCUGGGUUGUAAACUGCUUUUGACAGGGAAGAAAGUGAAUCUUGCGAGAUUUUUUGACGGUACCUGUAGAAUAAGCACCGGCUAACUCCGUGCCAGCAGCCGCGGUAAUACGGAGGGUGCAAGCGUUGUCCGGAUUUAUUGGGUUUAAAGGGUGCGUAGGCGGAUUUAUAAGUCAGUGGUGAAAUACUUCAGCUCAACUGGAGAGGUGCCAUUGAUACUGUAGAUCUUGAGUGAAGUCGAAGUAGGCAGAAUUGAUGGUGUAGCGGUGAAAUGCAUAGAUAUCAUCAAGAAUACCGAUAGCGAAGGCAGCUUACUUGGUUUCAACUGACGCUGAUGCACGAAAGCGUGGGGAGCGAACAGGAUUAGAUACCCCCGUAGUCC